GCCAACUUUGAUAACUGGAGGAAAAAGUGAUGUUGACAAUUUUAUGCAAUUUUGCUUCAUUUAAAUUAAUCAAUUUGCGAACAAGUCAUUAUCUUUGGGAUAUCAUUGGUCAUCUUGAUUGAUUCUCUAUCAAGAAUAGAAAAACAGCAGCAGAGAGCCAAUCAUCAAUUACUUUAGUCACAGGUUGUUCAAUGGUGUAUCAAGAAAUUGAAUCAAGAAGCCAGUAGGUCUUUGGGGAACUUCAAAAUGUAAGGCACUGGGCUCCAUGCUGGGAAAAAGGCCUGAAAUAAUAGUAACCUUAUCUCACCUCCUAUAUGGUCAAGCCUGGCCCCAUUCCCAAAUAAUACAAUCACUGCUCACAUAAGACCUUUCCUUCUCUUCACUGCAGAUCCAAGUUCAAUACAAACUCACCCUCUCACAUUUGCAUCUUUAUCUGAGCUAUGUAUGCUCAGACAUACUGUACCUCUUUGUUUCUUUUCUGAUUUGGGAUUCAGGGUGUUCCUGUACACAAAAUUCUCCAUAGUCAACCAGGUAACAAAAGGAGUAGCUGGGGAAAUGGAGAGGCUACUGCCUCUCAAUGGGGAAAACAAGGUACGGGGAAAGGAGUCUUAGACUCAGAAAACUUAGGUACAAAUUCUGAUUUUGUCAUUUUUCUGCUAAGUAUGGUUAGUCUGCUCCAGUAUUAAGAUUCUUUAUACCUCUUUACAUUUCUCACUGCCAAAAUACUCAAAGUUAUUUAUUCCUUAGCUCAAUGAAUCAUGAGAUCACAGAUUUGGAGCUAGAAGGCACCUUAGAAUGCACAUCCAAUUCUUUCUCAGGUUCAGAGCAGUUAAAUGAUUUGUCCAGGGGCAAACCAGUGCUAAAGGUAAGAUUGGACUCUUGAUCCUCUAGUCCCAAAUUCAGGGAUCCUGGUACUAUAAAAAGCACAAUGAAACCUGGAGGCAAGGCUCUUCCUACCAGUUUCCCAUUUUUCCAUCUGGUAGAAUAGACAGUUCCAUUGCUCCAAGAGCUUAGAAAAUGUUAAGAUAUCAGGGGAGGCAACCAAUUCAAAUCUAGGAACCAAAGAAAUGAGGAAGUAUAAUACUGGAAAAAACACAGGACAGAUUCAAGUCUCAGUCCCCACACAUGGCAAUGUUGGACCAAUCACUUCACUGAUAAUCUUU
rnacentral:lncRNA from 1 species